CGGGGCGUAGCGCAGUCUGGUAGCGCACCUGCUUUGGGAGCAGGGGGUCCACAGUUCGAAUCUGUGCGCCCCGACCA
rnacentral:tRNA from 1 species